rnacentral:piRNA from 1 species
CAGUAAAUGAAUGGUCCACCAUGUGCUGC